AGUUAAUGACAGCAGAAUCCUGUUGGCCUACUCAAUAAUGUCAAGUUCAUCAUUUAUAAGCCACACUACUGACUUUCUGUGCUUCAUUAUAUCAUUUCCCUGCUUGGCCUGCUCCUUGAGCUGCCAGCUUGUCAUACUUUACAGAGGAAGAUAAUAAAAGCCAUACUUUCUCAGAGUAAAUGUCCAUCUGGCUCAGCAUCCUGUCUCUGGGCGGUGGCCAAGACAGGAUGCCCAGGGUUCUCUCUCUCAUUCCUCUUACAUGGGUAAAAGCGUGGUGCUGAGCUGCUGCCAGGUUAAACCAGAACCAUCCUACCAGCAGAGUAUCCAACAGCUGCUUUCCAUGGUGAUGAGUUUUGU
ensembl:lncRNA